rnacentral:rRNA from 1 species
UGCCAGCAGCCGCGGUAAUACCGGCGCCUCAAGUGGUAGUCGCUUUUAUUGGGCCUAAAACGUCCGUAGCCGGUCUGAUACAUUCGUGGGUAAAUCAACCAGCUCAACUGGUUGAACUCUGCGAGGACGGUCAGACUUGGGACCGGGAGAGGUGUGGGGUACGCUCAGGGUAGGGGUAAAAUCCUGUCAUCCUGAGCGGACCACCUGUUGCGAAGGCGCCACACUAGAACGGAUCCGACGGUCAGGGACGAAGCCUAGGGGCACGAACCGGAUUAGAUA